AGAUUGAACGCUGGCGGCAGGCCUAACACAUGCAAGUCGAGCGGUAGAGAGGUGCUUGCACCUCUUGAGAGCGGCGGACGGGUGAGUAAUGCCUAGGAAUCUGCCUGGUAGUGGGGGAUAACGUUCGGAAACGGACGCUAAUACCGCAUACGUCCUACGGGAGAAAGCAGGGGACCUUCGGGCCUUGCGCUAUCAGAUGAGCCUAGGUCGGAUUAGCUAGUUGGUGGGGUAAUGGCUCACCAAGGCGACGAUCCGUAACUGGUCUGAGAGGAUGAUCAGUCACACUGGAACUGAGACACGGUCCAGACUCCUACGGGAGGCAGCAGUGGGGAAUAUUGGACAAUGGGCGAAAGCCUGAUCCAGCCAUGCCGCGUGUGUGAAGAAGGUCUUCGGAUUGUAAAGCACUUUAAGUUGGGAGGAAGGGCAGUUACCUAAUACGUGA
rnacentral:rRNA from 1 species